rnacentral:rRNA from 1 species
CCUACGGGUGGCAGCAGUGAGGAAUAUUGGUCAAUGGCCGGAAGGCUGAACCAGCCAUGCCGCGUGAAGGUCAGUGCCCUAUGGGCGUUAAACUUCUUUUGUGCGGGAGCAAUAAUGGUCACGUGUGGCCAGACGAGAGUACCGUACGAAUAAGCAUCGGCUAACUCCGUGCCAGCAGCCGCGGUAAUACGGGGGAUGCAAGCGUUAUCCGGAUUUAUUGGGUUUAAAGGGGGCGUAGGCUGUGAGGUAAGUCAGCGGUGAAAUGCCCCGGCUCAACGGGGUGAAGUGCCAUUGAUACUGCCUGGCUGGAAUGCGGAUGCCGUGGGAGGAAUGUGUGGUGUAGCGGUGAAAUGCAUAGAUAUCACACAGAACACCGAUUGCGAAGGCAUCUCACGAAUCCGCGAUUGACGCUGAUGCACGAAAGCGUGGGUAUCAAACAGGAUUAGAUACCCGGGUAGUC